rnacentral:misc_RNA from 1 species
GCUACUUUUAAGUCAUGAGAAUUAGAAGCACUUAAACGACCAAAUAUGAAGAUGUGAAACACAGAAACCGUAGAGGAUUGAGGUACUGAACUCGAGAAAUUGGGCAAAUCAAAACCCUAAUGGCAGAUAGCUCCACACUUUAUCUUACAAAAGAAGAACAAAAUAUUUAUGAUCUUACGGCUCUUGCACAGGAGUUAAAUGAUUACAUUUAUAACAGGAACAACAACACAUGGAAGACCAUCACUAAUCUUGGAAACUUUUACUCCUAUUGAAGUGGCUGUACAUCAAUAAUUUUAGCAUUUUUAUCUGCUAGGGAAACAGAUGGGAUCAAUUCCUGGCUAUCUUCAAUGUCAUUCAAACAAGGUGGCUUGCCAGCUCCAUAAUAGAAGUACGCCAUUAUUUUUGAAAACUCGUCUGCAGUUCGCAUAGCUUUCUCACGAUACAAGAUCUUUCCAGCUUUAGUGAAAAUAAUUUCUGGGAAGAUGGACACUUUUAGAGCACAGACCAAAUCAGUCUCAACAACAGCAUCAAUUGCAACACACUGAAAUAUGACAAAAAAAGAAUAUCUGAACUAAUUUUCUCUUUUAAGGACUGGAAUUUGCAAGGGAUUUCUAGGCUUUUCUUACUCUUGGUGAAGGUAGCCUGCAGUUCCAUAUGAUGUGUACAGCCUUCUCCAGUUCAUCUCGAAUCUUUUCAUUUUCCUUUGAUCUGGUGAGAAUAUAAAGUUUAGGUGAAAAAUUAACAGCAAGUUUAUUUCUAGAUGGAGCAAAGAAUGAAAUGAGGAAAGUGUUUAUUAUUUCUAAGGUUUUCUUGGCAGGCAGAGAGCAAAGCUCCGCACAAGAUACAUCAUGCUAAAAGUUUCAUACUAUGUUCACCAAGUGAAAACCAGAUGAACUGGUCAUGACGUCAUGAAAUACUAGGAAAUUUAAAGUGCUGCUCCUAAAACCAGGUACGAAAAAGAGGCAAAUCUAAAUGACGCUUUCAUCAACCAUCUAAAGCCAUCAAGGACAAACUCAAUCGAGCAAGCCACUCAUUUUUUUCUUUUAACAUCACAUGCAAUAUUUUCAACUUCAGUGAGCUGAAGUCACCCAAAAAGAACAAAGCAAAGUAACCUUUUAUAUCGAUUAUGUACAAGUACGAUCAAAGGACUGAUGUCUUUGAACACUGUCUCCUCCCAUUGUGUCGUAGUGAUGUCUUUGAUUGGACGAAUGUAAUUAUCGUCUUGCCAAACUAUUUCAUUUUCACUAUCGUAGUUCUCAUCAUCAACAUCCUUCUUGACAUUCUUGAUAGUUAUUUUGUUGAAGAACUGACCCAAGUUGAAUCCCCACCCAUCAGCAUCUUCAGGCCAAUCUGGAUCAUCCUCCUCCACAACUAGGGGGUAAUCAUCCAGGAGCUUCUGCAUCUUUAGCUUCUUUUCUUCAUGGUCAAGCUGCUCCUCAACAUCAGGAUACUUAUCGAUUACAUCUUUAAUCUUCCUUCUCCAUUCCCGUCUCUCUUCAGGAUCCAUAAGAUAUGGGUCAUCCCCCUGGCCUUUUCUUGCAGAAGAACCAUCAUCAUCCUCAUCAGUGUCACAAGAUUCUUCCCAUCGUUUUUUUUUUCCAUCAUCAGACCUGAGUGUUUCCACUGCUCGAGAAACUCUUACUCCCCUACUUCUGAAUUCACCACCCUGCAUCAUUUAAGAAAAGGAAUUUUCUUUAUAUGAAAAAGAGGGAUUACUUUGCACAGGUCCACUUCAAUUGUUUAGGACAGAUGGCAAGGAAUGCACCUGACAAGGAACCCUCAAAAAAUUUGGACUAGAACAACACGAAGAAACCUCAGUGUUGGUUCUUUUAGCUUCAGAAUGACAAGUAAUACCAGCAGCUGAAAGAAAACCUUUGAAUUUGUAUUCUUUUAUAGGUGCAAAUAAAUUCUGAAACCUUAAUGUAUGUUGCAGUGCCAUUUCUACAAAUAAUUUUCCAAAGCAUAUGACAUUAGAAUCUAGCAACCAAAAUUUAAAAUGCAGUAGAUAAGAUAAAAUUACAUAUAAAUGAUGAAAACUUCAAGUCACAUCAGUGAAAGAUUAGGUCAUUUAUAUCAUUUUUCAGGCUCAAUUUCAAAAAUUCAAUUUGGGGUACUUCUGGAAAGGAAAAACAGCUAGUCAAAAUCCCAUUGAUGUAAUUGAAACCCAAAUGCAGUCGAUGAGCAGUCUACUUAACUCAUAAGGAAGAAUAACACUUGGUGAUUUUUCAAGUUCUAAAUUCACUUGGGUCUUAUAUCAAUUGAAACUUUCAUUAUACUCUUCCAAACAAUUUUGAGACAAAGUCAUUCAAAAUUAUAUCACAGAGCAAUUUGCACAUAUACCAUCACUUUCAGGAUAACUUUUUAGUUUAUGUUUAGCCCAAAAGAUUCAACAAACUCCACAACUCAGCCAAAACCUCAAACUUUUUAGAAAAAUGAAUAAACCCAAAUAAAAUUAAUAGAAUUUGGUAAUGGUCGAUAGUCUGUUCUUUCACUUUUCCUUUCUUUUAAUUAGAGGGUAUUGAGGUGACACCCAGAAAACGAAAUUCCAGCAUAACCUUAAACAGAGAAGUUAUCUAUCAAUCAAAACUUGACAAAGAAUACGAAGAAGGAAUUGCUUACCACUUGGCUCUUGCUGUGACAGAAAUGAAGCUCAGAAUGAUGUGAUCCUUGGCGUGUCUAUUUCUUGAAAUAAUUGCUAAGGCUAAACCCUUGCUUGUAGCUACAACCCGAAGAGGAGCAGAGCGGGGCAGAGAUUGCCCACUUCACAGUUAACAGAUAUAGGAUUAGGAUAAGUACCUUU